rnacentral:rRNA from 1 species
UACGUAGGGCGCAAGCGUUGUCCGGAAUUAUUGGGCGUAAAGAGCUCGUAGGCGGUUUGUCGCGUCGGCCGUGAAAUCUCCACGCUUAACGUGGAGCGUGCGGUCGAUACGGGCAGACUUGAGUUCGGUAGGGGAGACUGGAAUUCCUGGUGUAGCGGUGAAAUGCGCAGAUAUCAGGAGGAACACCGAUGGCGAAGGCAGGUCUCUGGGCCACUACUGACGCUGAGAAGCGAAAGCAUGGGGAGCGAACAGG